AUCCAAGUAGUAUAGUGGUUAGUACUCCACGUUGUGGCCCUGGCGAUACGGGUUCGAUUCCUGUCUUGGGCA
rnacentral:tRNA from 1 species